GCCCUUAGGAGAAGAAUAACUGCUGGAAACGGCUGCUAAAUCUUCAUAUGUCGAGAGAUGAAAUAGCUUAGGCUGCCUAAGGAUGAGCUCACGCCUGAUUAGCUAGUUGGUGAGGUAAUGGCUCACCAAGGCCACGAUCAGUAGCUGGUUUGAGAGAACGAUCAGCCACACUGGGACUGAGACACGGCCCAGACUCCUCCGGGAGGCAGCAGUGAGGAAUUUUCCGCAAUGGGCGAAAGCCUGACGGAGCAAUACCGCGUGAGGGAUGAAGGAUUUUGGUCUGUAAACCUCUUUUCUCAAGAAAGAAGUUCUGACGGUACUUGAGGAAUAAGCAUCGGCUAACUCCGUGCCAGCAGCCGCGGUAAUACGGGGGAUGCAAGCGUUAUCCGGAAUCAUUGGGCGUAAAGCGCCUGUAGGUUGUUUAAUAAGUCUGUUGUUAAAGACUAGGGCUUAACCCUAGAAAAGCAAUGGAAACUACUAGACUAGAGUAUGGCAGGGGUAGAGGGAAUUUCUAGUGUAGCAGUGAAAUGCGUAGAUAUUAGAAAGAACACCGGUGGCGAAAGCGCUCUACUGGACCAUUACUGACACUCAGAGGCGAAAGCUAGGGUAGCAAAAGGGAUUAGAUACCCCUGUAGUCCUAGCCGUAAACGAUGGAUACUACAUGUUGUGCAUUAUGUACAGUAUGGUAGCUAACGCGUUAAGUAUCCCGCCUGGGGAGUACGCUCGCAAGGGUGAAACUCAAAGGAAUUGACGGGGGCCCGCACAAGCGGUGGAGCAUGUGGUUUAAUUCGAUGCAACGCGAAGAACCUUACCAGGACUUGACAUACUACAAAUUCUUUUGAGAAAAAGAAGUGCCUUCGGGAAUGUAGAUACAGGUGGUGCAUGGCUGUCGUCAGCUCGUGUCGUGAGAUGUUGGGUUAAGUCCCGCAACGAGCGCAACCCUUAUUUUUAGUUACCAAUUCGUUGGGUUCUCUAGAAAGACUGCCGGUGACAAACCGGAGGAAGGUGAGGAUGACGUCAAGUCAGCAUGCCCCUUAUGUCCUGGGCUACACACGUGCUACAAUGGUUAAGACAAAGAGUCGCGAGCUCGUGAGAGUCAGCUAAUCUCAUAAACUUAGCCCAAGUUCAGAUUGUAGGCUGCAACUCGCCUACAUGAAGUUGGAAUCGCUAGUAAUCGCUGGUCAGCCAUACAGCGGUGAAUCCGUUCCCGGGCCUUGUACACACCGC
rnacentral:rRNA from 1 species